GCGGUCGUGGUCUAGCCUGGUUAGGACUCAGGCCUUCCAAGCCUGCAAUCCCGGGUUCAAAUCCCGGCGACCGCACCA
rnacentral:tRNA from 1 species